rnacentral:rRNA from 1 species
CCGUCUCAGUUCGGAUUGUUCUCUGCAACUCGAGAGCAUGAAGGCGGAAUCGCUAGUAAUCGCGGAUCAGCAUGCCGCGGUGAAUACGUUCCCAGGCCUUGUACACACCGCCCGUCACACCAUGGGAUUUGGAUUCACCCGAAGGCAGUGCGCUAACCGCAAGGAGGCAGCUGACCACGGUGGGUUUAGAGACUGGGGUGAAGUCGUAACAAGGUAGCCGUAGGGGAACCUGCGGCUGGAUCACCUCCUUUCUAAGGA